UAAUGGAUGAUAUAUAUAAUAUUACCUAAAUUAUUAACAUUAUUUUGUAACAUUGUUGUAUUUUGAACUUAAUUAGUAAAUUAUUUUGAACAUUCGGAGGGAUUCUGAAACUAUUCACUUUCUUAAAUAACAAGCAAAAGGUUUUACGCAGCGUUUCAUACGUCUCUUAGUAAGAAGGGAAGACUGCGAUAACUCAAAAACAGUUAACUGAUAAUGUCCACUAUAGUUUUCGUUGAAAGCUUUACUUUCAUGAUUUAUUCCAUAUUUUUUGGACCCAUGGUUGAAAAGUUUGAAGGGUGAGGGGAACACAUUUUUUUCUUUCGAUGCGAUUAUAUCUGAAAAUAAUCACUUCAAAAAAUGCUUGUUGUAGACCCGUAUUCAUUUAGAAAGACCUAUCCAACGAUAUUCCACAUUAUUGAGAUAAAGCGUCUUUUUUUUAAUAUUAUGGGAUGUACCCUAAAAACAUUUUUUUGGAUUUUAUUUUACCACUUUUUCGGAUUGAUUACUAUAUCUAUGCCAAAUUUCAGCUUUCUAGCACUAACGAUCACGGAGAAAAGCCUCGGACAGACAGACGGACAUGCUGAAACUAUAAGGGUUCCUAGUUGACUACGGAACCCUAAAAAGCAAUUAGUAAAUAAAGAAAGAUAAGAAGAAAGAAAGACUAAUCAAUAACAAAUUACAAGCGUUCAUAAUAUCACUGCACUCUACUACAGUGAUCUACAAGUUUUGAACAGCGUUUUUAAAAUGAAAAUAAUGCCUUUAAAGAAUGCACUUCACUUUCAAUGCGCCAUCGCCUAAUUUGCAGUCCAAACAAUAAUAAUAUGAAAUUGAAGUUGGACAUUACAUUAUUUCUUUAAAUUUAAUUUAAUUUACAACUUUUUUUCAGUAAACUAAGUUUGCUAUGUUCAGAGUCAAAGCAUUUUACUAUGUGUGUUUUGAUAAUUCACGUUGUUGAUUUAAUGCCCGUUCCAGUUUUAACUGUGGGUAAAAGCAGAGUUUUAACGAUCUUUACUUCUAUGUAAAGUGUCACUCUGGGGCAAAUUCGUCUGCACCAUCAGGCGUGCAAAAUCCUCCGAUCUCCCAAGAAAAUAAAUUCAAUUAAAAUUGCUAAAGUUGGGGUGUGUCUUGGAUUGAGUGGAUUCUGUUUGUGUGAUAUGAGAAAAGCUUUGAACGGAAUAAUCGUGUGUGCUGGGUUUGAAUGACUUAGUUCUGCUUUAAGACCGAGGACCGCUUCGUCCACAAAUCUAUUUCGACACCUUCAGAACUUGUCAUUAUUGUCCACUGUUCUGAUUCGUCAACAUUCCUAUAUCGUCACUUUGCUAUCUUGUCCACAUUCCUAUAUGGUCUACAGUGCUAACUCGUCCACAUUCCUACAUGUUCCGCAGUGUUGAUAUUGGUUGAGGUCAAAAUGACAGGCCAAGACUUUCAAGCCAAAAAUUUUCAGUUGAAAAAAAACAUGCAAAAGUAAAUGAAAAAUGCCUUAUUUGUCUUACUUAUAUAAGGCAGUCAGGAUAAUUAAUGGUACAAUAAUGUUGACGAGUUGGCACUAUGGUCAAUAGGGAUGUAGAAGAUCUGGGACUGCAGUAAAAAUAGUAAUAUGGAUUAUAUGGACGAGUUAGGAAGGUGAUGAUUUAGAAAAUUUUGUGCUGACGACAUUGCAUUCUGAAUGAUUUAAAAGUAUGGAUUGAGGACGAAACAGUCCUGAGCCGUGAGAAUUGGAGUCAUGGGAUUUAGAAACGCGCAUGUGCGAGAGAAAAGUAGCUGUGUGUGUGUGUGGAGUAUUUAGUUGUAACGGAACGAGUAAUAUUAUGGGACACCCUGAAAAGAAAAGUGGUUAUCAAGUCAUGCGACGAGGACUACGGGGAGUUUAUUAAUGUGUAGGGAUGUAAGUAAAAGAUAACCCUAGGAAUGGGAGAUGGACUUUUUCAAUGGAAAUAAUCUACUUAAUGAUGAAAAAACAUACUGAUAAUCAAACAAAUAGAUGGAAGAAGGGUGAGCGAAUGAUUUGAGAUUAUAGUCUGCGCUUUCGAUAUAUAGAAAUCUGUGAAAUGUACGAGUGAAGAUGAAAUAUGACUGAGUGGAAGUCCGAUUGUUUUUUUGUAGAAUUGCUGUUUGGGGCACCUAUUUAUCUCUGGAGUUUCUCUUCUUAUUUUACCCAAAUAGGCUUUAUAGAGAAGAAGUCGUCGAAUCGAUGGAUACCAUUAGAAGAAGAUCCGGCUGCCAAAUUUACGCAUUUCAGAAGAACAUUAUCCUCAAUAACCAUACUCCCGAGAAGAAACCCAUUAUAUACGUAAUGUUGGUAAGUUUCCCUGACGUUGCGAUUGCAUUAUUGUUAAGAUAGUUUGUUACGUUUGUCAAGAAGUGAAGAACUCUUCAGUACCCAUCAAAACUCAUACGAACAGCUUUUAUCACAGGCGGCAAGGCGCGGUGUGUUCCCAAUUGUCCCGCCGGGCACAGAUUGGAAUAGGUUUUUUCAUACAAAUCAUUCCCAUUUGUCAUCGCCUUAUGUAUGGAGGCGGUCACGUGGGGCGGAGGACAAAUGGGAAUAUUGGGAUUACAACUUAAUCAGCCUAGCGCCGCGACAUUUUUAUUCUAAAAAAACCUAGUUUGUCUCCAUAAAGGGUUUCUGAUCCUUACUGUUGCAGUAUUUUUAUCGUAUAGUACGAUUUGACCAUAUUUGCGAUGCAUUCGCACAACGAAGCACUGCACCAAUUGAUUUACCUUCUGCAGUCUUGUGGCUCUCCAUUGUAAUUCUCCGUAUUAGAGAAAAAAUAAGUGAAAUUUCUUUGCUGAAAAAAGAGAGUUCUGUUAACCUAAUUUUUAAAUAUACCUAGUGCUUCGAAUAUAUAUAAAUAUAAAAAAAGGAUGGAUAACAAGUUUUGUCAGUAAAAGUAUGGUAAAAAACUAUUCUCAUCCCUCUUCUUGGGGUACUAUCAUAAUUUUCUUAUUCUAGUAUGAUUAUCUGUGCCUAUGCUCUUUUCUGACAAAGGUCUUUCGCCAUACUAUACAUUGAAAGAGGUUGAAACUGCAUUCUGCAAAUAUCUCCUGUGAAUAAAAGAAUUCGUUUUUCUCUAAAUAAGGUUUGAUGUGUAUUGAGUAGGCACCUAUGUAACAGUACUAAAUAAACUUUUUUUAUAUAAUUGCAGCGGUCUACAACUACAUGCUUGCUACUGUUACAAAUAUUUACAAGCUAAUUUAGUUGUUUACCAUUUAAAGUAUUUCUUAGAUUUCGCUGUAUGACAUACGAGAACGUAUGUCAUUAGAUACGUUUAAAUUUUCUUUAUGAUUUCUUGGUGAUGAAUUUAUUGGGUCAUGCGCGUAUCGUUUUAGUUCUUGCGUGCCUCAAUAGAUUCAUCACCAAUAAACCGUAAAGAAAAUUAAUAAUAUUUAAUAAUAUGACAGGAAAUUACUUGCCUGCCAAUCUAAUCAUCAAAAACCAAGUUUAUUUCGCAAUGUUCGAAAUGUCAAUUAUGCAAAGCAUUUAUUUUGUUUACAAGUACUAUGAUUAUAGUACUCCUGCUCAAUAAAAUCUUAUAACAUGUUAAAUCUUAUAAGGACUUAUACUAACCCAUUUGUUUAGCACUUUAAACCGAACGGAGGAGAGCAUCUUUACUGUUAAAUUCAUCGCACAGACCAUAAUAGUCCACCGUCCUCACCACUUUACUCAAUGGUGUAUUCCCAUUUGUGCCCGCCCCGUUCACGUGGGGCGGGGACUAAUGAGAAUACACCACCCUAAGUAUUUAAAACAAAUUACGAAUAAAUAUUCUUUAGAAAAAAAAAAAGUGGGAUUGCCAAUGACUAUCAUUUUGUUACGUGUUAGACCAGGUUACCAGCUGGUUUCUCCACAUACGACUAAGAAUCCUAAUAAUAAUAAAUGUACGUUUUAUUCUUGUAUUGCUAAUCUACAAUUGUUAGAAACAGUCGUAUUUUCUUGUAUAUUAUGAGCGUUAAAAUCUUACCCUCUGAGGACGGAUAUAAAUGAAACUAUUCUCAUUUGUCCUCGCUUGGAAUCAAACAAUUCCUCUAAAUAUAUAUUUAGACUAACAACUGUUUCGGAUUAUUUGGUCUGUGCUCUAAAACUGAUGAUUUAACUAAGCCAUCUAAACAUAGAAUUAAUAAAAACUACACGUGUAGAUCGUACCAUUCACGAGGGCGCAUUCGUUUAAAAAAAAAAUGAAAGUGGAGAAGGGCGCGCCUUCCUGUGCUACUAUUACAAAAAAACUGCAAGAAUAUAGGUCGUCUGUCCUUGUCACCCAAAUUAACAUACAACAUAUUAUUAAAUAGCGUCACCGACGCCUCCCUCUGAACACAACUAUCGUGGAAUACAGAACAUGUGUUGACGUUUUAUUUAAGUUUGAUAUAAUAUAUAUUAAGAAUACGUUGAACCUUCAAGUUAUAAAUGAAAUUUACAUGUACCAUUCUUGUAACCAUCAAAAGCGGUUAAGUCUAUUAGAUUUCUGAAACCUUAUGAUAUUAUGACCACAAUUAUUAAUGUGUUCAAUUAAACUAUUUAACUAGGUACCCUUUUCGCGCUACCAUACUUCAUACUGUUCAUAAUCUCAAAGCUCGUCAGAGCUUAGACUACUUUACAAAUUAAAAUCUUUUAAUUAUUUAAAAUUUAAAUGUUGUAUUUCCUUUCAGGUCCGUGAUUCGAUAUGAAUAUAUCAGCUAAUGUUAAUGUUGUAUUUACAGGUAUCCGUAUUCAGCUAGAUGUCGAGAUUAAAUCAAAAGGUCUGACGUGAAUAAUCUUUGGUUUAAACAUUCGGGGUUGCAGUUACGCUCUGAAAUAGUUCAAGGAUGGACGGAGCUUCUAUGGACUGCAGGAAGAUCAAUGGAUAAAGAAUAUAAUAAAUGUAUAGUU